ACACAGGGAGAUAAACUGGGCCUGGGGGCAGAGCAGCCACAGGGAAGGAGUCACUGAAAAAUGGAGUCUCUGUCCCAGCUUCUCUGUGGGCUCCUGAUGCUUUGGGUCCCAGUUUCCAGGGGAGAAAUUGUGCUGACCCAGUCUCCUGCCUCGGUGUCUGUGAGCCCGGGAGAGAGAGUCACCAUCAGCUGCAAGGCCAGUCAGAGUGUCUUAUACACUGAUGGAAAGACUUACCUAUACUGGCUCCAACAGAAACCCGGCCAGUCUCCUAGGAUGCUCAUUUACCAGGUUUCCAACCUGCACUCAGGAGUCCCCGCCCGCUUCAGUGGCAGUGGUGCUGAGAAGGAUUUCACCCUCACAAUCAGCAGUGUGGAGGCUGAAGAUGGGGCAGAAUAUUACUGUGCUCAAGCAUCUUAUCUUCCUCCCACAGUGUUACAGCCCUGAACAAAAACCUCCCCAGGCCUGGGCUGGCUGCUCAGGGAGGCCCAGCUGCCUCCCCUCCUUCCUCUGCUGCAGCAGCUGCUGGGGGCCUGCUCAGGGGCAGGGUCUCUGGGGCUGAUGAGAUAAAAGGGACUCGGGGCUCAGGGGACUCUUGCUCCUCUUCAGCCAUGAGCAGAAUCAUCAAAGAAAGAACCACUGGCUCAGACUGGGUCAGCCCACAAUGCCCUGGGCCUGAGGCACUCUCCCAUUCCUAUUCCAUCUGACUCCCAACUGAGCAAGAACCAAAGAGAAAGUAGAAACUUCUAGCCAGAGAUUCUUUCUGUCCUUUCUCCCUGGCUCAAUAUUCCACAGCAGUCAAUGACACUUGGGAACAAGAGCACAAGAAGAUCAGGAAACAGGUUAAUGAAAUCCAUCAAUGGCUCCAGAUUAAAAUUCACACUCUCCCAGCAGUCAGAUGGCACGAGGCAGCUGUCCUGGAGUCAGGAGGACCUGAGUGCAAAUCUAGGCUCAGACAUUUCAUAUUUUCUUGUUGUGUGACCUUGGGCAAGUUAUUUAACCCUAAUUGCCUCAGAAAAAAAAAAUUCGCACUCUGGAUCAAUUUUCUCUGCCCAUGCAUUUAAAUCAGAUUUUUAUCUACUUUUAUUUUACCCAUUCAUGCCGGGGGCCAUAAAGAUCUCUCUGGAGUCUCCUCUGUCCACUCUUUUCAAAGCAAGACUUCAAUUCCUACAAAGAAGGGGAAUAAGAUAUAGGCGUCAAGAAGCCGAACAUUCUGCUCUCCUCAUAGUUUUGGAGUCUGCUCAGAAUUAUAAUGUCCUCCCCCCUCUUAAUAAUAUGAAUCUAAUAAAACUAAUUUUUUAUUGAUGAAA